GAUGAAGAACGCAGCGAAAUGCGAUAAGUAGUGUGAAUUGCAGAAUUCAGUGAAUCAUCGAAUCUUUGAACGCACAUUGCGCCCCUUGGUAUCCCGAGGGGCAUGCCUGUUCGAGCGUCAUUUCACCACUCAAGCCUGGCUUGGUGUUGGGCGACGUCCCCUUUGGGGACGCGCCUCGAAACGCUCGGCGGCGUGGCACUGGCUUUAAGCGUAGCAGAAUCUUUCGCUUUGGAAGUCGGGGCCCCGUCUGCCGGAAGACCUACUCGCAAGGUUGACCUCGGAUCAGGCAGGGAUACCCGCUGAACUUAAGCAUAUCAAUAAGCGGAGGA
rnacentral:misc_RNA from 1 species